rnacentral:rRNA from 1 species
CCUAGGGGGGCUGCAGUGGGGAAUAUUGGACAAUGGGGGGAACCCUGAUCCAGCGACGCCGCGUGAGUGAAGAAGUAUUUCGGUAUGUAAAGCUCUAUCAGCAGGGGAGAAAAUGACGGUACCUGACUAAGAAGCCCCGGCUACCUACGUGCCAGCAGCCGCGGGAAUACGGCGGGGGCAAGCGUUAUCCGGAUUUACUGGGGGUAAAGGGCGCGUAGACGGUGCAGCAAGUCAGAUGUGAAAGGUCGGGGCCCAACCCCGGGACUGCGUUGGAAACUGGUGAACUGGAGUUCAUGAGAGGUAAGCGGAAGUCGUGGUGUAGCGGUGAAAUGCGUAGAUAUUAGGAGGAACACCAGUGGCGAAGGCGGCUUACUGGACUGUAACUGACGUUGAGGCACGAAAGCGUGGGUAGCAAACAGGAUUAGAUACCCCGGUAGUC